rnacentral:rRNA from 1 species
UACGAAGGGGGCUAGCGUUGUUCGGAUUUACUGGGCGUAAAGCGCACGUAGGCGGAUUGGUCAGUUAGGGGUGAAAUCCUGGAGCUCAACUCCAGAACUGCCUUUAAUACUGCCAGUCUCGAGUCCGGAAGAGGUAAGUGGAACUCCUAGUGUAGAGGUGGAAUUCGUAGAUAUUAGGAAGAACACCAGUGGCGAAGGCGGCUUACUGGUCCGGUACUGACGCUGAGGUGCGAAAGCGUGGGAGCAAACAGG